ACAUUAAUAUAAUUUUCUUAAAUUCAUAUUUCAUGUCAUUAAUAAAUUCAUAAGUACAUAUUUUAAAUUACAGAUUAUUUCAGCACAUGGAGAGCUAUAAUAGGGUCUAAUGUUAACAGGAAAUAAUAAUAGCAAGCAUUUAAUAGCAAGCAUUUAUUAAAAUGCCAAUUUCUAUGUCUGAGAGUGAGUACUAUCCUAGGCCUUAAUUAAAAGGACCAGAAUUUAUAAAUAUCUAAGUAAAUUUUGCCCUCAUUUAAAAUACAUAUCUGGAUUGCUUACAAAUUUCAAAUGCAGUAUCUUUUUCUAACAGAUACUAAUGAAUUCACUGAAAGAAGCUAGAUCUUAAUGCACAAAUGAUAGCAUAAAGAGGAUUGACAAAAAAUUGCUAUAUGUACACAAUUACACACCUGUGUAUGUACACACUCAUAUAUACUAAAUCUAUGAUGUAUUCCAAUAUUUAGACCACACUAUAAUUAUGAAAGAAAGAGGAUUUUAAUAUUUAUUCCUAGAAUAAUUUCAAAUAUAUUCCCUAGGAAACUUAAAAUAGGGUAAACAUUUCCUAAUGUUUCAAGUAACUAUGCAAAAUCUCUUGAAAUCAGUUUUUUUUAGAGUCCAUUAACUUUGAUGUCAUUUAAAAUGCUGUUUACAUAUGGAAUAACUACUUUGAUUAUUCCCUAGGAUGUUAAUUUUGUGUUUAGAGUAAUGAAAUCUGCUUUCUUCCACAUUUAAAAUUGCAGAGGG
rnacentral:lncRNA from 1 species